UAGUCGCUCGUACUUCCCACUGGCUGGAG
rnacentral:sRNA from 1 species